rnacentral:lncRNA from 1 species
CAAUUCUGAACCAUGGAUGAUGAAUCUCAAAGGAUAGAGUUUAUGGAUAAGCCUUAUAACUGACUGAACUGUUAAAGGUCAAACCUUUUUGAUGUAAGUAAACACAGCCCUUUCCGAUGUACUAUGUAACUGUCUUUUUUUUGGCAGAAAAAAGGGAUAGUCAUGAAUCUGUGAGGAUUUCUCAAGAGAUAACAGCACAAAGAAAGGACUGAGUAUUCACUAGAAAACAAAGAUUUUUCAACUUCAAUUUCAAAGGAGUUAGUAGUACACGAGAAGCCAAUAGCAAAACAAGAUGACAAUUCAACAUAAACCCCAAAUCAGAAAACACAAAAACAGUUCAAAAAAAGGAAAGAUAAGAAGAGGUCAGAAUUGGGGUUAGACAAACCAGAAAUCUCAUCACUACACAAAAGGCAAAAACUUCCUCCACAGAAGGAAACCUUAGCAGAAAAGCAUGAUCUUGAUCAAACAAAACACAAGAUUUCAUCACAAACCCAACAAACAAAGUACAGCACAGAAGCCCAGAAGAACAGAACAAAAGUAAAAAGCUUACAUGGGAGAAAGGAAUGGAAUCCAAGAGAGAGGAGUAUACUUCAUGGGGGGGGGGGGGCAGGGGAAGAAGAAAACCAAACCAAACCAAAACAAAGAGAAAGAAAGAAAGAAACCCACUUUUGGGAAGGAGCAAAAGGAGUGGCCUUUGGUGCCGAAUUCCAGUUCUGCUGCUGCUGCUGUUGCAGCAAAAACAGCAUAAAUUGUCUGAAAUGAGAAAAAAGAGGAAAAGGAUGAGUCUUUACUAUCUACAGAGAUAGAUAGAGAAGGCUUCUCCAGCAGCAGCAAGGAGCAAGUGGGCAAGUAUGGGGGAGUGUCCUUAGUUUUUUAGUUUUUACUACUUAAAGAGAGUCUUGGCAAGGUA